UACGUAGGGUGCAAGCGUUAAUCGGAAUUACUGGGCGUAAAGCGUGCGCAGGCGGUGAUGUAAGACAGAUGUGAAAUCCCCGGGCUCAACCUGGGAACUGCCUUUGUGACUGCAUGACUAGAGUACGGUAGAGGGGGAUGGAAUUCCGCGUGUAGCAGUGAAAUGCGUAGAUAUGCGGAGGAACACCGAUGGCGAAGGCAAUCCCCCUGGACCUGUAC
rnacentral:rRNA from 1 species